rnacentral:lncRNA from 1 species
GAGGAGAGAUCAUUGAUGCAAUUAUUUUAUACUUUGAAAAAUUAGGUUAAAGAGCACACUUCAGCUCCACAGUGCCAUGAAGAAACAGAUCACUGCUGGCUACUUUCAUCCUGGUUUUACUCAAGCAAGUUACUCAAGUCAAGAAGCGUAAUUAGAUCUGCUCGCCAAGCAUCUACGUAUUUAGACACAUUAUAGAUUUUACAUAUAUCUAGUCAAACUCACACCAAAAAACAUACUGAAGCAAUACAUCGCGAUAAAGAAAAAUGAAAUGAUAAUUGACAGAUGUAUGGG